rnacentral:rRNA from 1 species
AGUGAACGCUGGCGGUAGGCCUAACACGUGCAAGUCGAACGGCAGCACAGUAAGAGCUUGCUCUUACGGGUGGCGAGUGGCGGACGGGUGAGGAAUACAUCGGAAUCUACUUUUUCGUGGGGGAUAACGUAGGGAAACUUACGCUAAUACCGCAUACGACCUACGGGUGAAAGCAGGGGAUCUUCGGACCUUGCGCGAUUGAAUGAGCCGAUGUCGGAUUGGCUAGUUGGCGGGGUAAAGGCCCACCAAGGCGACGAUCCGUAGCUGGUCUGAGAGGAUGAUCAGCCACACUGGAACUGAGACACGGUCCAGACUCCUACGGGAGGCAGCAGUGGGGAAUAUUGGACAAUGGGCGCAAGCCUGAUCCAGCCAUACCGCAUGGGUGAAGAAGGCCUUCGGGUUGUAAAGCCCUUUUGUUGGGAAAGAAAAGCAGCAGGUUAAUACCCCGCUGUUCUGACGGUACCCGAAGAAUAAGCACCGGCUAACUUCGUG